ACGUAGGUGGCAAGCGUUGUCCGGAUUUAUUGGGUUUAAAGGGUGCGUAGGCGGCCAAUUAAGUCAGUGCUGAGAUAUUCCGGCUUAACCGGGAGGGUGGCAUUGAUACUGAUGGGCUAGAGUACAGAUGAGGUAGGCGGAAUUGACGGUGUAGCGGUGAAAUGCUUAGAUAUCGUCAAGAACACCUAUAGCGAAGGCAGCUUACUAGGCUGUAACUGACGCUGAGGCACGAAAGUGUGGGGAUCAAACAGGA
rnacentral:rRNA from 1 species